rnacentral:rRNA from 1 species
UUCCGGUUGAUCCCGCCGGACCCGACUGCUAUCAGAGUGGGACUAAGCCAUGCGAGUCGACGUAGCAAUGCGUGGCGAACGGCUCAGUAACACGUAGUCAACAUGCCCAGGGGACGUGGAUAACCUCGGGAAACUGAGAAUAAACCACGAUAGGUCACGAUUUCUGGAAUGGAUCAUGGCAUAAAUCUACAUGGCCCCUGGAUUGGACUGCGGCCGAUCAGGCAGUUGGUGAGGUAAUGGCCCACCAAACCUAUAACCGGUACGGGCUCUGAGAGGAGAAGCCCGGAGAUGGGCACUGAGACAAGGGCCCAGGCCCUAUGGGGCGCAGCAGGCGCGAAACCUCUGCAAUAGGCGAAAGCCUGACAGGGUUACUCUGAGUGAUUUCCGCUAAGGGGAUCUUUUGGCACCUCUAAAAAUGGUGCAGAAUAAGGGGUGGGCAAGUCUGGUGUCAGCCGCCGCGGUAAUACCAGCACCCCGAGUGGUCGGGACGUUUAUUGGGCCUAAAGCAUCCGUAGCCGGUCCUGCAAGUCUUCCGUUAAAUCCAGCUGCUCAACAGAUGGGCUGCGGAAGAUACUAUAGGGCUAGGAGGCGGGAGAGGCAAGCGGUACUCGAUGGGUAGGGGUAAAAUCCGUUGAUCCAUUGAAGACCACCAGUGGCGAAGGCGGCUUGCCAGAACGCGCUCGACGGUGAGGGAUGAAAGCUGGGGGAGCAAACCGGAUUAGAUACCCGGGUAGUCCCAG